GCUGCCCUCUACGGGGACGGUCGCACACAGUCCCCAGGACGUACUUCACUCCAGUCCCCGCUCAGGUCUUCCGUUCCCUGCGCUCUGUGUGCAAAGGCACACGUUCUCUGCAGUGAAACAGUCGAUGUCCACCACACUGUUCACACUUCUUCCAAGCCAAUGAGAUGCCUAAUUCAGGCGGUCACUAUUCUCCCCUAACAGGGGGCACGGUAGAGCGUGCUACUCCAGUGAAGGGUUCCGGGCCCUCGGAUGCCACUUCCCAGCCGUGGGGACGGGAACAGGUCACUGCCCCUCCAGCCCCCAGCCACUCCCUCAGCCCCUAGACAGGAGGUCACUCCCAUUACCCAUGUCCAACUCCCUGGGGUGCGCACACGUCGGACUACAGCGCUGGACCUCCGAAGGAACCCUCGGCUCGCACCGACAGACUCAGCAACUACAGGCCACAGCCCUGCCACACCAUCUGCGGGGGUACAGCUGUGUGGCCCCACUGCCUCCAGUUCCUGAUGAGACGGGUUUUAGGCAGCCCUGUCAGACUCACAAGGCAGUUACGAAUCUCAAGCCUCCGGCAGAGCUGGGACUCCCUCCCUCCUACGUCCUGCGAUCCCCCACAGGCCCGGCCAGCAGGUCCCGGGGCUCCGGAACUGUCCAUCGCCCUGGGCUGGAGCGGGUCACAGCUCAGCGGGCAGGGUUGGAAACCGCUCUCUGUGGAAGCGUCUGGCUCCACUUUGAAUGGAUGCUUCUCCUCCAGGAGCUCAGGGCAGAGACCAGGGGCACCCCAACCCCACAGCAGGGAGCUCCUUCUCUCUGCCAUGUGCCGGGGUGUGAAGGUGUCACAGACUUGUCCAGAACCGUGCCUAAUCCGGGGCUGGCUCAGGACUGCGCUCUGGGCCACCUGGGGCAGCAUCCUGCCCACAAAGUCUCCGCAGCGGGAGUUGCACCCGAGGACGCGACUCCUGCCCCCUGCAUGGACCUAGCCCAGCUGCAGAGCGACCAGGACAUCUCUCCUCUUAGCCACCGCGGGAGGGACGGGCCUUGGAGCCCUGACAAGCCCAGGUCCAGGCGGAGAUUUCUUUUUUAAGUCUAAAAAACCCACAAAAUGCCACUCUCUUUGCCUUCAUCUUUAGUGUCUCCUUAAAAAUACACAGCAGGGUUACAGAGCCAGGCCAGCUCGACCGCGGGCUGCCAUCCAGCUCAAGCCUGCAAAGGCUGAGCCAGGACGAGCCCCUCUUCUUGCGCCUGGCCUCCCUCCAGGACGUGGCCUUUGCUCCCUGCUUGCAAAACCAUUAGAGAAGGCGCAUGCAGCAGGCGAAAGCACCGUGAGGGCCCCCGGGGCUGACCCCCAGGCGGGACACAAGGAACAUCACCACGCCUAGUGGGGGCCACCACGCCGACCUCCGUGCACUAUCUGGUGCACACAGCGUUUGCUCUGAUUCACCAGCUUCUGCACCCCUUCAAGGGGACCCCCAGAAACGCCCACCUAGGCCCUGGAAGCAGCUGACUGAGCGCCUGGCAGCAAAGCCUGUCACGAUGAGACCUUGCACCCCCUGAUCCAUGUUCAAACCCCACCACCCCAUGCGCCAUCAACCGUGGACCACGUGGCCGCCGUGGGCAGGGGGAUGGCCUCCCAAGAGCGCUGGGAAGGCGACAAAGCGAGGGCCGCUCCCCCAGCGGUGAGGAGAAGGUGCCAGGGGAGGCCUGGAACGGUCCCAGCCUCCCCCUAACCUGGGGAGCACCAGCGUCUCCACGGCUGCCAAGAUGCCCACCGUCCAGCCCCUGCACAUGGUCUAUGCCCAGAAUCUCAAUCGUUUCUACUUUCCAAACUACCCACGGAGGCAUACCCCAAUGUCAGCACCGCCGCAGCGUGACCUUUGAGGGGAACACGAGGAGCCCCAUACUGGACCUGAUUCACCCUUCCAAUUGACCCUCCCUUGUGGUUCUCAUCUUCCAGAUGCUUCCAGGCCAGCUGCCGUGUGAGUGCCGAGGGCCACAUAAAACGAUGCGGGGUCGGCGUCCAGCAAACCCACCCUCACGGCAGUGGAGACAACUGGACUGGAAACAUCAAAUGCCCUCGACCCUCCAGACGGUGAGAAGGUGCCUGGGAGUGACCUCUGCUGAAGGCCCCAGGUCAAGGGAACCCCAGGCCCCAGAUUCCAGGAGUCCACUCUGCACCCUCCACGCCGGAGACGGGUCUACCCUCCUACCGCAGGCCAGGCUUGCUGGCCCCGGUCCUGCCAACCCGUCACCCGCCCUGGAGCCUGGCGCAUCCGUCCUUCCCGCGGUGUGGACUCGCACACCAGGCGGGGCGUUCCCUUUCUGAGCCCGGCGCCACCUCCCGGGUGCUUCAGAAGGCGCGAGACACGGAAACGUGGCAGCGGUUCUGUCCCCGUCCCACGUCAUCUUCCAGGUGGGAAGACGCGGGCUGAGAGGUUGGCCGGCCCUCAUGGUCCCCAGCGGGCCCGAGGAGGCGCCUUCCCUCCCGGGGACCAGUGCCGGGGAGCACGUUACGAGACACGCAGCACAGAGGCAGAGGGGUCUCCUCACAAUUCACAGGAACCAAAGUCAACUGAAAAAUCUAGAAGAGCCUCUAGAACAUUCUUGCACCAGGAUAAACUAGGCCGCCCCUCUGCCCCCACUAGGGCCUUGGCACUGCUCGUGGCGGCCUCAGCAGGGUCACGGUCGUGCCAAGCAAGCAUCCUGCCAGAGAAAGGCCUCCGGGUGCUGCCUACAGCCCCCUCGCAUAAGCUGGGCCCCCUCAUCCAGUGAUGGGGACAUGGGGACAGACCAGACGGGACCCCAAACGUGGGUCCAGAGCGUCACCAGCCAGAGGACAGGACUGCUGCCUCCCUGCCUUUCUGCCGGCAACGCCUGAGGAAAUGGAACUGUAUUCUGCCAAGGACCCGGGAAGUAGGUUGUGUGAGCAUCAGUGGCCCUGUCUACUGGAGAUGACGGGACCCGAGGUCUCAUUUCCUGCAGAACUGGUCCCAGAGGUUGGCCAGUUGGCCGUGCUGCCUGCCAGGCAGAGCUCAGGGCCGCCCCACAUGCCGGCCACUCCCGGGCCCUGGGCCGCCUCCGUGCAAGCGGGGUGGCUAUGUCCCGCCACAGAAACAGGCUGAGCGAGGCAGCCGCCCUGGGGACACGUGGUGGCCCCGAGCAGUGCCCUUCAGGUCUCGGCAGGUCCCCGACGGCCACCGCCCUGGGCUGAGCUCUGCUGGGGAGCCUCUGCCCAGUCCUGGGUCCUCACCCCGGGGACGUGCGGGGCCGGGCUGGCCGGGGCAGCGCCCCUUGGGGUGGGCUGCGUCCCGGUGCAGUCGGGAGCGCCCGGGGGGCUGGUUUCCAUUCGGGAACGGCCCCCCUCUCACUGCAAAGCACACCUGCAGCCAGCCUGACUCAGGCACUGCUGCUAGACACAGCGAGGGACAUGGGCCCGGCCUGCACCUGCCCACCGAAGGCCACGCGCAGGCAGGGCCGUCCAGGGGGCCACGGAGAGCAGAGAGAGGGACAGUCCUGGGCCCGGCUCCCCACGAUGCGCACACGUGAGCGGGCACCUGUGAGAACCCCGAGUCUGGCCCGUUCACUUCGGACAGGGAGCAGCGGAGACACAGACAGCCCCCCGCCCUGCCCAGCACGGUCCCUGCGCUGGGCCACCACCUGCGCAGGGACCCCGACGGCGUGCGUGCCAGCCCUACCUCCAGGCGCGGGGCGGGGGGACCCCUGGAGAGGAAGUGCCACCCAGAGGAGCGGAAAACCAGCUCCGGCUGGCCGGCCGUGGGGUUACUGGGAAAAGCAGACCGCUCCUCCAGGCUUCAACCUUGUCAGUGGCUGAUGCAGCUUCCCUAGGGGCUGGCGCAGCCCCGCCCCACCCACCUCCGGGUCCCUCAAGGCCUCCGCAGGCCCUCCAGGCACCGGAAGCUCUGGGCCCGGAAGCUGAUGUGCUGGCUGGGGGAGGGGCGGGGAGAGGCCUGCAGAGCCCACGGCCGUGGCCACACCCGCCACAUCCGCCCCAUCUGCCCACCAGGCACAGACCACCUGCCGCUGGCCUGGAGGCAGCCCCCAUCCUCACCUUCCCCAGCUCCCCGCACCCCCAGGGCUGCCCCCACCGGCAGCCACCCUCUGGAGACGCAGCUGGGGGGGCCGGCGUCCCCAUCCUCCCAGGACAGCCUUCUGGGGGAGGGGAGGAGGAAGAAGAGCUGCUCAGGUCUCCACGUGCCACCAUGGACGUGUGGGCCUCUUACGGAGGCUCUUCCAACAACUCGAUGGGCCAGAAACCAUCCUCCUCCUCCUUGUCAUCCCUCCUUCACACACAAGAAAACCAAGGUCUGGACGCUUCCGGAAGUCACACCAGCGGCCAGCAGUGCAUUUAGAGCCCGAAACCUGGCAUCUGCCCCUCCCCCCCAACACCACCUCAUGAGUCCUCAGCGCCGGAGAGCCAACGCUCCCUACAUGGGAGAGCCUGCCCCGAGGCCUCAUGGAGCCAGCACACGGCUGGCCUCCCUGGGCCCACUUCAACCCGGUUCCUCACCAACACGUCACAUGGGCUCCUAGUUAGGGGUGCAGCGGGCACCUCCCCAAGGACGGGCUGAACCUGGGUGGCGGCACCAGGGCCUGCUCUGGAGUCUGGCAGGCGUCGGCCUUUCCAAAUAAACCCACUUGGCUAGUUAGGUCAGCCCAGGCUCUGCAGUCUUCGUUUUUUCUUCCCAGCUUAAAAGCCUAACAAGCAGAUGAUAUAACUGACCCACACCGAAGACCCCACGGCGAAUGAAGAGCUACCAGUUCCGUGCCCAGAACGUGGUCCCCAGGUGUGUGUUCACUGACGAGCAGUCUCGGGCAGGGACGAACACUCGAAUGACAACUCUAACUACAGACCCUGCCUUUAAGCCCCCAGCUCCUUCUGACCGACCGGUGGUCGGCUGGGGCCCCGCAGGAGGUGGGCACGCCUGGCUGCCUGGGGCAGGCUCCCAGCCUCGGACGGCAAUCCCACCCAAAGCGUCCCAGGUGACGGAGACUCUAGAAACAUUUCAGCCACAGGGAGGACAGCCCUCACAAAAUUUCAGAACCAGAUGGAUUUUUUCCAACAUACAGACAAGGAACUUGAAACACCUGCCCGAGCUUGCCCGACCCUCCAGGUUCCAGGGACCACCUCUCUUCUAUCCCGCAAAGCCCAGGGAGAGCUGCGCUGGGCAGCCCCUCACACUCACACCUGCACUGACCCCUCCAUCUUCAGCAGGAAGUGAUUUUCUGCCUCUGGGGGGGUGCCUGCCGCCAAGCCCCCACCCUGCUUGAGCUGCACCUGGCCGCGAGCACCAGCGGGGAUGGGGCCAGGCCUGGCUCUCCAGAGGAGUCUGACGGACACGCCGCUCGCUUGCUUCCUCGGCCUCGGCAAUCCCACCCGUUCAAAAGGAUGCCAGCUCAGGAAUGUGCAUCUCCACGUUGCUUCAACAGUGAGGAUUUCUGGUCUAAAUGUGCACUGGUCAGGACCUAGCUAGCUAAAUAAUCUCCCAGCCCGCUAGGCAGGCAACGCAAACCAUCGUGCCCAUGCUUAUUGACAAGCUCGAUGGACACACAUGUGAUUAAGUGCAACGAGGAGAGGAUAAAACAGCACUUAAACGUACGCUUACUCACGGAAAGGGCCGUCGGGGACGCUGACGCCCAGCAGGGCCGGGGCAGGCCCGCCCCAAGCACCCGGCGCUCGCCCACGCAGACUCCCAAUUGCUGGCAGGGCCGCACUUCCUGCUUUCCGGGUGAGCUCACGGGGGCCAGGUGCACCUGAUCGCCGAGCGCCGAGCACCAGGCCGUGGCCCUUCACAGGUGGAGAAGGCAUGCGAGCUGCACGGGGUGCUGAGCUCUGGGCCCGGGGCAUGAGGGACGUGUCCAAAUACCUUCUUCGGAUUUUGCCUCACCUGACUGCGUUUGCAUUAGAAAAUGCACUUUUUGGUGUUUUUCUUACAAGACCUCCUGCUGUUUCCGAACAUCAGCAGCUUCCCCAGAUUCUCGCAGUCGCUCAGGCCACCCCGCGGUGAAGGGGAAGGCGGCCCGGUCCCCAGGAGCAUAUUCCCGCUGUCCGUGGGGACACUUCUGCCCUCCCGGCUCUCCGCGGACGGGGCCGCGCGUGGCUUCAUCUUCCUAGUGUCUAUGCCUCGUUCCCCUCCACACGUGUGCCCUGCCCCGCCGAGCCUGGCCGUCCAUUACCCGCCAAGAGGGACACACAUGAGGCAGGGCGUCAGGGCCCCGAUGCCGGGGCUCGAGCUGUGUGCCCGGGGCUGGCUACUUACUCCCCCCCUCAGGUGCUGAGCUGUGAGACGCAGCUGAGCUCAAAGCGUGCGUGGGCUUUUUACCCCACGACCUGGCGCUUUGGUAACUAUGACUGUUAGUGAGGACAUGAUGAAAACCCGCCAGGGACGGCUGGGGGCGUCUGCUGAGCCUUUCCAGAGUGGGCCCACCGUGGCAGAGCCAUAAAAAACCACCCUGCCAGGUGUCACGCAGUGUUCUUUCUACAUCUUUUCCCCCAGGACGGACAGCAGAGGGGAAGAGCUUGCCCUCGGCGCUGAGGACAGCCACCUCGGCCACGCACCUCUGCACCGGCCUCCACCUGCGACCCUCUGGUCCUGUCCUAAAGGUGACCCCGGGCAGAGGGGCACCUGCUUCUCGAGGACCCCUGAGAACAGGUGGUGCUGACGUGAAAACCGGCUCAUGCGGGGACCCGGCAUUCACGUUCUAACGCGGAAAGAGGGGGAAGACCGUGGGGGCCGGAGGGAGGUGGGGGUCGUACAGAGAGCCAAGGCCAGGAGAGGCGUCCCCCGCCGGCGCACCCCGUGCACCUGAGUGCCCACGCCUCGGCCCCGGCCGCCCUGUGUCCCCGUCCCCACUUCCGGAGAGGGAGGCCCGCAGCAGGGACGGCGGGAAAGAGCCCAGCUGCCGUGGAUGCGGCCUUCCCGGCACUCACGUUACUGAUCGAAGUCAGAAACGCUCACCGGCGGCCGUGACUAGCCAGGCUCUGGCUGUCUCCCAGAGAAUAGCAGUCAAACGCCCUCCCCACUCCCGGGAGCGGCUGCCGCUGGACCUCUGAAUUUUUAAGUGGUUGGAGUGUGAGCCUCUGGAGAGAUGAAGUGCCAUCAGCGUCCACACAGCGAGAGGGCGGGCGCACAGCCGUCCCCCGACAGCCAGGCCAGGGCCACCGGGCCUGGCCAUGCACAGUGUGAGCCCCGCCUCGGUUUCUCGGUCCCCCAACUGUGUCACGGAGCCCACGCCGGCCACCCCGUGCGAGGCAGACCCGACCCCGCUCCACACACGUGCAGUCGGGGGAGGAAGCGCUGAGUGGCCACGGGAGGACCCAGGUGCCCAGUGCACACCGGCCUUUGCAAGCAAGGCAGAAGCAGGGGUCAGGCCAGCAGGGCGGGGGUCAGCGCCCACCCGGCGGCACCUCUGUGGGGCUCUGGGCGGCUAUUCUGCACACCUGGAGAGCCAGGAGUGGACCCUAAGGGGGACCUGGGGGCCCGGAUCUGAGGGGAGACUGUUACCAGGGGGCUCAGUGAGAGCUGAGAACGCAGAGACACACGCAGUGGGUGCCCUUCCAGCGCUCUUCCCUAACCAUGGCCACGGGCGCAACCAAAUGGAAAAGCCAGGCGGGCUGAGCAGCGCACCCUGUGACAGGCGAGCCCGCAAAUGCAGAGCGAAAUGCAUGCCCCAGACCACAGCAGGUGCGGCCUCGAGACAGCGGCCGGCAGGGCUUCCUCUCUGCAGCCCCUGCCCCCAGUCGGGGUUCAGAUCCCCGAGUCCAGGCAGACCUAGAGCCCGGCCAAACGACUUGGAAGCAGGGUCUCAAACGGGGAUCUGCACACCCACGUUCACGGCGGCCGUUUUCACAGCAGGCAGAGACUCGCUACUUCUCCCUGACUUGCCACCCCAAGCCCAAAUGCCUUUGUUUUACCCAUUCUUCACAAGCGGAUUGUUUCUUUGUCUAGCACGCAGGACAACUGCCUGCUCCGGUCACUUCUUAGAGUCUUAUAUGGUUGGAGCUCCCAUGUGUACAAAAUUAAAUUCGCUUUUCUCUUGUUAACAUAUCUUAUGUUAGUUUAAUUACCAGACAGGCCACAGGGCCAGAAGGAAAGACGGGAGAUUCUCUCUCCCCACCUACAAUCCCAAGUGUCCACUCAGGGAGGAAUGGAUAAAGAAAAUGCCAUAUAGCCACACAACUGAGCACCAUCUCCCUCCUUGUAGGGAAGGGCCUCCGAGGUGCCUGCCAAGCACUCCAAGGUGACCUGGCUGCUUCACCUGAGCCCAGCACCCAGGGGGCACGGGGAGUCGACAAGGCGGUCACUCAGAGCUGCCACUCAUGAGAACACACCAGCUCUUGGGGGUUCUCGACCCUCAGCCUUUCCAUGGCUUGUGUCAACGAGACACAGGAGUGGUGGGAAGGUCACACGGGUCCCCCGCACACAGAGUAAGGGGCAGGGUCCAGCAGCAUCUGCAAGUGUCCCAAGGUCUGCUCCCUUCUAGAACCUUCUGUCCCUAUGACCCUGCCCUCCCACCAGGGCGGGCCCCAUGAGGGCCCCUCUGCAGGUGGAGAACACACCUGCAUUUUGUGGGCACGGAGCGGAUACCUGUCUCCAGCCUUUUGAGUUUCAAGACGGGCAGAGCUUGGCUGGAGGACACAAUAUGUCUGAGAAGUCAGCUCUGGCCGCCCGCUUGGUCAGUCACGGUCAGCCACGUCCACCUGGUUCCUGCCCUGUGGCUGCCCCCAGCACCCUCACCAGCCAGUGACGACGCCGAGUAGAGGGCGGGUCAGGGGUCUCGGUCCCGGUGGGAGCCAGGCUCCAGGAAGCUUCAGGAAGCCAGGACGUCAGGGGGUGCUGGCCACCUUCUGGACUAAGACCCACUCUUCCCACCAAGAUUCCCAGCCACACACUCCAGGCUGACGUCCAGAAGAGCCCUGGGGUCGGCUGUAGCACACGUACGUCGCACGUGUAUGCUGAGACGCGCGGGAGCUGCUGGAGAACCGCCGAGAGACCAGCUUCCAGAAGCCUCCUGCAUUCCCCGGGCUCGUGUCCCUCCCUGCGGCGUCAAAGCCAGCGAAGAGGAUCGGAACACGCCACCCCCCAGAGGCUGCCCCCCACACAGACUGCUCUGGCAUAAGGACUACCUUGAACCGAAGACAACUGAGAAACGGCAGGUCCACGGAGAACUCUCUGCCCUCCCCACGUGCCCAAAAGCAGGACACAGGCUUCCUUCUGUACAAGCGUCCUUGAGAAGGCCCCACUGAAAGAACCUAAGAGAGUAGAAGGAAAGUUUUUCCUUCCCUAAACCAGCAGCAUAGCAUCUUCUCUCCUCUCUGCCCUCCUGACUGUCUCUCAUCAGGCACCCUGUGAUUACAUAUAGGGCCUACUUAGAGAAUCCAGGAUGAUCUCCCUAUCUCAAGAUCCUUAAUCACACCUGUGAAGUCCCUUUACCACGUACAGUAACAUAACAGUUGACCCUUCGACCACACUGGUUUGAACGACAUGGGUCCACUUAUAUACAGAUUUUUUCGAUAAGCACAGGACAUACUGUAAAUGGACUUUCUCUUCCCCAUGAUUUCCUUAAUGACAUUUUCUCCUCUCUGGCUGACUUUAUUCUAAGAAUACCUUAUACAGCAUAUAACACAUACAACAUACAAAACGUGUGUUAACUGACUGUUGGUACAGGUGAGGAUUCUGGUACAGCAGGCUGAGUAGUUAAGCUUUUGGGGGCGACAAAAGUUCUACACGGAUUUUCGGAGGUGCAGGGUCAGUGCCCCGCCUCCAUACUGUUCGAGGGUCAACUGUAUCUGCAGGUUCCAGGGAUCAGGACACGGAUGUCCACAGGGGCCCUUCAUUAUUCUGUCUCUUGCAGACCCCCAUGGCUAGUUGGUAAUGUGGCCCAGUAGAAGCACAACUCCUGCAUUCCUUUUCCAGAAAAAAAAUGAGUUUUUUAGGUUUAAUUCUCCCAUUUUCUUGAAGCUGAGAAGUAAUUCAUAAUGUUAAUUCUGGGAAGUCCAAACCAAACCUGUCUGCCUUCUGAGAGCUCUGAGCCCACGUGGGUACCCUACAGGA